rnacentral:rRNA from 1 species
UACGUAGGUGGCAAGCGUUGUCCGGAUUUACUGGGUGUAAAGGGCGUGCAGCCGGAGAGACAAGUCAGAUGUGAAAUCCACGGGCUCAACCCGUGAACUGCAUCUGAAACUGUUUCCCUUGAGUGUCGGAGAGGUAAUCGGAAUUCCUUGUGUAGCGGUGAAAUGCGUAGAUAUAAGGAAGAACACCAGUGGCGUAGGCGGAUUACUGGACGAUAACUGACGGUGAGGCGCGAAAGCGUGGGGAGCAAACAGG